AUGCUUUUCCUGUAUUUUUGGGAUGCAUUUUCCCGUAUUUUUGAGAUACUUUUCCAGGAUUUUGGGAUGGAUUUUCCCAGGAUUUUGGGAUGCUUUUCCCAGAUUUUUGGGGUGCCUUUCCCAUAUUUUGGGCUGCCUUUCCCUGUUUUGCAGCCCCUGCGGGUGAAGCUGCCGGAGCCGCUCCUGGCUGAGAUCGAGCUGCGGCUGCGGAACGGGGACGAGCUGCGGCCGGCGCUGCUGGAGGCGCAGGAAUGGGUGAUCCCCGAGAUCCAGGAGCAGCUCCAGGACUACAGGUGGGAACCUGGGAAAACCAGGGAAAAACCCUGGAAAAUCCCCUGAAAAUCCUGUGAAAAAUCCCGUGAAAAUCCCCUGAAAAUGCCGCGAAAAUUCUGUGAAAAUCCUAUGAAAAUCCCCCUGAAAAUUCCAUGAAAAUCCCACAAAAAUCCCGUGAAAAUCCUGUGAAAAUCUCCUGAAAAUCCUGUGAAAAUUCUAUGAAAAUCCCCCUGAAAAUUCCAUGAAAAUCCCACAAAAAUCCCGUGAAAAUCCCCUAAAAAUCCCGCGAAAAUCCCCUGAAAAUUCCACGAAAAUCCCAUGAAAAAUCCUGUGAAAAUCGCAUGAAAAUCCUCUGAAAAUCCCACUAAAAUCCUGUGAAAAUCCCGCGAAAAUCCCCUGUAAAAUCCCAUGAAAACCCCGGGAAAAUCCCGUGAAAAAUCCUGUGAAAAAUCCCGUGAAAAUCCCAUGAAAAUCCCCUGAAAAUCCCACGAAAAUCCUGUGAAAAAUCCCGUGAAAAUCGCAUGAAAAUCCUCUGAAAAUCCUGUGGAAAUCCCCUGAAAAUACCCUGAAAAACCCCAUGAAAACCCCAUGAAAAUCCCAUGAAAAUCCUGUGAAAAUCCCCUGAAAAUCCCACUAAAAUCCUGUGAAAAUCCAAGAAAAUCCCAUGAAAAUCCCCUGAAAAAUCCCCUGAAAAUCCCGUGAAUAUCCCUGUGAAAAUCCCGCUAAAAUCCCACUAAAAUCCCCUGAAAAUCCCAUGGAAAUCCCAAUUCCGGGAACUCCGGGAGCUCCCGGUCCCGUUUUGGGGCAGAACCCCAG
rnacentral:lncRNA from 1 species